UACGGAGGGUGCAAGCGUUGUCCGGAAUUAUUGGGCGUAAAGAGCUUGUAGGCGGUUUGUCGCGUCUGCUGUGAAAUUUCGGGGCUCAACCCCGAACUUGCAGUGGGUACGGGCAGACUAGAGUGUGGUAGGGGAGACUGGAAUUCCUGGUGUAGCGGUGAAAUGCGCAGAUAUCAGGAGGAACACCGAUGGCGAAGGCAGGUCUCUGGGCAUUAACUGACGCUGAGGAGCGAAAGCAUGGGGAGCGAACAGG
rnacentral:rRNA from 1 species